CUAAAUUUUUGGGAAACAAAGCCCUUAUAAGUUCUCACCUUUAGACUUCAGAUAAACGUCAAUAUUGAUUUUCCUGAUAUUUAUGUUUAUGGUUGUGAAUACUUAUAAAAUGUUGAAGUUAAAUUUUUUUUUUUUAUUGAUUAACUAAUAUUUUCUAUCACAAAUAGGAAACAAAGAUAAAAAUGUCGACAAUAGGAAAGAGUGUGAAAGUUGCACAAUUAAAGAUACAACAGUGAAAAUACAUCCAGGUUCUGGGUGCGAAAUUCAUAUGUUAUGCAAAAAUUGCAAGGAACCUUGGUGUUGUAACAAAUGUUUUUUGAAGGCGCAUAAUGAAUCUUGGGCAAGAUUGAUGAAAAAAGGGUAUAAUUAAGAAGAAGAUGAGAAUAAUCAAAACGAGGUCUCUUCAUCUCAGCCUUUUAAAAUUAUUACAGGAAGUACAAUAAGAUAACUACAGCUUUGUUCGUUUCAUUCCAUUUAUUAAUCUUUUUAGCAAUAACUUUUUAUAAUAAUAAUUAUUAUCAGUUUUUAUAAUUAUAAUUUUAAUAAAAACAUUGAUUGUCUCUAAUAUAUGAU